GUGGGUGGCUCAGUGGUAGAGUGCUUGCCUUGCAUGCAUGAGGCCCUGGGUUCGAUUCCUCAGCACCACA
rnacentral:tRNA from 1 species